rnacentral:tRNA from 1 species
GGGCGCUUAGCUCAGCGGUAGAGCGUCUCGUUUACACCGAGGAUGCCGGGGGUUCGAAUCCCUCAGCGCCCA